rnacentral:rRNA from 1 species
ACGCACGCUGGCGGCGUGCUUCACACAUGCAAGUCGAACGGAAAGGCCCUGCUUGCAGGGUGCUCGAGUGGCGAACGGGUGAGUAACACGUGGGUGAUCUGCCCCUUACUUUGGGAUAAGCCUGGGAAACUGGGUCUAGUACUGGAUAGGACCAUGCUGUAGGUGGUGUGGUGGAAAGAUUAGUUUCGGUAAGGGAUGAGCUCGCGGCCUAUCAGCUUGUUGGUGGGGUAAUGGCCUACCAAGGCGUCGACGGGUAGCCGGCCUGAGAGGGUGGACGGCCACAUUGGGACUGAGAUACGGCCCAGACUCCUACGGGAGGCAGCAGUGGGGAAUAUUGCACAAUGGGCGCAAGCCUGAUGCAGCGACGCCGCGUGGGGGAUGACGGCCUUCGGGUUGUAAACUCCUUUCAGCCAUGACGAAGCCCUUGUGGUGACGGUAGUGGUAGAAGAAGCACCGGCUAACUACGUG